GCCCGCUUAGCUCAGUGGUAGAGCGCAUCACUAGUAUCUCAACACAAGAUCCCGACAUGAUGAGGUCCUCAGUUCGACUCUGGGAGUGGGCU